rnacentral:tRNA from 1 species
GGGCAUCAGCUCGAGUGGAGGAGCACUCGGUUCCGAGCCGAGAGGGUGGUGGUUCGAGUCCACCAUGUCCCA